rnacentral:rRNA from 1 species
GCGCUAUCGGAGCGGCCGAUGUCGGAUUAGCUUGUUGGUGGGGUAAUGGCUCACCAAGGCUACGAUCCGUAACUGGUCUGAGAGGACGACCAGUCACACUGGGACUGAGACACGGCCCAG